GUCCAUGUAGUUUAAUGGUAAAACACUCAAAAGUGAGCUGAAAAAGGCGCUGAAAAGCGAAGAUAGUAAGCAAGAGCGAGUAGGGGGAUGAAGGUUCAAAUCCUUUCAUGGAUU
rnacentral:tRNA from 1 species